UGGACAGUUUAUUGUAUUCGACUGUAUUCACGGUGUGAACAGGGAAUUACACUAUUUUUAAACGAAAAGUGAAUCAAUUAACAUAAUUGACUCUU
rnacentral:pre_miRNA from 1 species